CCUACGGGUGGCUGCAGUCGAGAAUAAUUGUCAAUGGACGAAAGUCUGAACAUGCGAUGCCGCGUGCAGGAUGAAGGCCCUCGGGUCGUAAACUGCUUUUCUUCGGGAAGAACUACGGUGACGGUACCGAAGGAAUAAGGGGUUACUAACUCUGUGCCAGCAGUAGCGGUAAUACAGAGACCCCAAGCGUUAUCCGGAUUUAUUGGGCGUAAAGAGCGGGUAGGCGGCCUUGUUAGUCAGAUGUCAAAUCUUCCGGCUCAACCGGAAAACUGCAUUUGAAACGGCAAGGCUAGAGAGCGUGAGAGAUCGGUGGAAUUCACGGUGUAGUAGUGAAAUGCGUUGAUAUCGUGAGGAACACCCAAGGCGAAGGCAGCCGAUUGGCGCGCUUCUGACGCUGAGCCGCGAAAGCGUGGGUAGCGAAUGGGAUUAGAUACCCUUGUAGUC
rnacentral:rRNA from 1 species